GAUGAACGCUGGCGGCGUGCCUAAUACAUGCAAGUCGAGCGAACAGACGAGGAGCUUGCUCCUCUGACGUUAGCGGCGGACGGGUGAGUAACACGUGGAUAACCUACCUAUAAGACUGGGAUAACUUCGGGAAACCGGAGCUAAUACCGGAUAAUAUAUUGAACCGCAUUGUUCAAUAGUGAAAGACGGUUUUGCUGUCACUUAUAGAUGGAUCCGCGCCGCAUUAGCUAGUUGGUAAGGUAACGGCUUACCAAGGCGACGAUGCGUAACCGACCUGAGAGGGUGAUUCGCCACACUGGAACUGAGAAACGGUCCACACUCCUACGGGAAGCAGCAGUAGGGAAUCUUACGCAAAGGGCGAAAGGCUGACGGAGCAAAGCCGCGUGAAGGAUGAAGGUCCUCGGAUCGUAAAACUCUGUUAUUAGGGAAGAAAAAAAGUGUAAGUAACUAUGCACGUCUUGACGGUACCUAAUCAGAAAGCCACGGCUAACUACGUG
rnacentral:rRNA from 1 species